rnacentral:rRNA from 1 species
UUGGAAAGAUUUUUCGGUUGGGGAGGGGCUCGCGGCCUAUCAGCUUGUUGGUGAGGUAAUGGCUCACCAAGGCGUCGACGGGUAGCCGGCCUGAGAGGGUGACCGGCCACACUGGGACUGAGACACGGCCCAGACUCCUACGGGAGGCAGCAGUGGGGAAUAUUGCACAAUGGGCGGAAGCCUGAUGCAGCAACGCCGCGUGAGGGAUGACGGCCUUCGGGUUGUAAACCUCUUUUAGCAGGGAAGAAGCGAAAGUGACGGUACCUGCAGAAAAAGCGCCGGCUAACUACGUGCCAGCAGCCGCGGUAAUACGUAGGGCGCAAGCGUUAUCCGGAAUUAUUGGGCGUAAAGAGCUCGUAGGCGGUUUGUCGCGUCUGCUGUGAAAUCCCGAGGCUCAACCUCGGGCCUGCAGUGGGUACGGGCAGACUAGAGUGCGGUAGGGGAGAUUGGAAUUCCUGGUGUAGCGGUGGAAUGCGCAGAUAUCAGGAGGAACACCGAUGGCGAAGGCAGAUCUCUGGGCCGUAACUGACGCUGAGGAGCGAAAGGGUGGGGAGCAAACAGGCUUAGAUACCCUGGUAGUCCACCCCGUAAACGUUGGGAACUAGUUGUGGGGUCCAUUCCACGGAUUCCGUGACGCAGCUAACGCAUUAAGUUCCCCGCCUGGGGAGUACGGCCGCAAGGCUAAAACUCAAAGGAAUUGACGGGGACCCGCACAAGCGGCGGAGCAUGCGGAUUAAUUCGAUGCAACGCGAAGAACCUUACCAAGGCUUGACAUAUACGAGAACGGGCCAGAAAUGGUCAACUCUUUGGACACUCGUAAACAGGUGGUGCAUGGUUGUCGUCAGCUCGUGUCGUGAGAUGUUGGGUUAAGUCCCGCAACGAGCGCAACCCUCGUUCUAUGUUGCCAGCACGUAAUGGUGGGAACUCAUGGGAUACUGCCGGGGUCAACUCGGAGGAAGGUGGGGAUGACGUCAAAUCAUCAUGCCCCUUAUGUCUUGGGCUUCACGCAUGCUACAAUGGCCGGUACAAAGGGCUGCAAUACCGUGAGGUGGAGCGAAUCCCAAAAAGCCGGUCCCAGUUCGGAUUGAGGUCUGCAACUCGACCUCAUGAAGUCGGAGUCGCUAGUAAUCGCAGAUCAGCAACGCUGCGGUGAAUACGUUCCCGGGUCUUGUACACACCGCCCGUCAAGUCAUGAAAGUCGGUAACACCUGAAGCCGGUGGCCUAACCCUUGUGGAGGGAGCCGUCGAAG